GCUCAGGGUGUCGAGGUUGUCGUGCUUCUUCUGGGUUCAUCUGGUGGUGUUGCCGCCGCCGGUGCAUUUCCGGUCGAGGUUUGACCGUCAGUCGGGAAGACGCGGAGAUCUGGUUGUCGGUGUCGGGGAGGUAGGCCUUGUGGUUGCUCUCGAGUGCCCAGGGUCACGUAUAGCCCUUCGCCGUGGUCUGCGUUGUCUUUCAGGUGCGUUGGAUGGCCGUUCGUCCAUUGUUGGUAGGUACAGACUCCCCCGUGGGAGUUCGGGCCGGUGUCAGAGUCGCUUGGCUUUGCGUAGUUUGUGUUCCGUUCUCUCGCCGUUUGACUCGUUCGACGGUGUAGGGUGCGGCACGGCACGUGAAGUUCGAGUCCUCGGUUGCCGUGUCCAAGUUCUGUGCCGAGGUGACUGGCGAAGAGUCGUUACUCUGUGC
rnacentral:rRNA from 1 species